AACGAACGCUGGCGGCAUGCCUAACACAUGCAAGUCGAACGAGACCUUCGGGUCUAGUGGCGCACGGGUGCGUAACGCGUGGGAACCUGCCCUUAGGUUCGGAAUAACUCCCCGAAAGGGGUGCUAAUACCGGAUAAUGUCUUCGGACCAAAGAUUUAUCGCCUUUGGAUGGGCCCGCGUUGGAUUAGCUAGUUGGUAGGGUAAAAGCCUACCAAGGCGACGAUCCAUAGCUGGUCUGAGAGGAUGAUCAGCCACACUGGGACUGAGACACGGCCCAGACUCCUGCGGGAGGAAGGGGGGGGGAAUAUUGAAGAGGGGGAGAAGGCCUGAUCCAGCAAGGCGGGGUGAGUGAUGAAGGCCUUGGGGUUGUAAAGUUUUUUUACCGGGGAUGAUAAUGACAGUACGGGGAGAAUAAGCCCCGGCUAACUCCGUG
rnacentral:rRNA from 1 species